AACACGAAUCAGGUCAAGGAUGGAUCAGGGAAAUCCGAAUGAGCUCUUAGAGACCCUGGUUUCCUCAGAGACACAGGUGGGAGGGGAAACUUUCUAGGGGUUCACGAGCAGCUGCUGCAGCGGCUGAGAUAGGUCCAGAGGACUACAGAAUCUUCUAUAUGAGAAAAGAGACAGAGUUGAAGAGCUAGCCACGUAAGCCAAGUGGAAGCUGCAGCCCUCCAUCCAAAGGUAUACGCCUUGGGGCCUCUGGGCUCCCAGUGCCCUGAGUCCUGAUUCCUUGACAGUGUUUUCCCUCGGAGUUCCGUCGUGACCCAACAGGCUGGACCGCUCCGGCUGCACAUCAGCCAUCCAAGAUGCAGAUUACUCCUUGCCAGUAUAAGCCUCCAAGGCUGCCCUGGCCAUGGGACCAAGGGACGCUGAACUGAGGGAAAGGGAGAGAUGCAGGGAGAACGGCAUACCCGUGUUCCCACUCAAGCCAGGACCAUCUGCAGACAGACUAGAUUUUCUACAGAAGGGAUGGAUGCCUUGACACGACUAGGGAGAUGAAGCCCAUCAGGCCCUCAAAUGCACACUCUAGAACCCAGAUGAGGACCAGACACACCAUGGGGUCCGUGAAGGGUUCACUCCCAUGUCUACCCUCGCACCUGGGUUGAAAGAGCAACAAAUAUGUCCCCACACAUUAAUGUGGAACGUCUAUACUGUCUCCUCCUUUACAGCCCUGUGCUGGGACUCUGCGGAUAAAAUAUCAGUGGGGGAAAACAAAUGGCCCUUAAUGAAUUGCCUGUGAGUUAGAGCCCCGAUGCGGUUUUAAUGGCAAAUGAAAAAAAUAAACUUGUCAAUAAGAGA